AAUCGACGCUGGCGGCGUGCCUCAGACAUGCAAGUCGAACGAUUAAAGCUCUCUUCGGAGAGUGUAUAGAGUGGCGCACGGGUGAGUAACACGUAAGUAAUCUACCUUCGAGUGGGGAAUAACGUCCGGAAACGGACGCUAAUACCGCAUAAUGCAGCGGCAUCGCAAGAUGACAGUUGUUAAAGAUUUAUCGCUUGAAGAGGAGCUUGCGGCGGAUUAGCUAGUUGGUAAGGUAAUGGCUUACCAAGGCUACGAUCUGUAACCGGUCUAAGAGGACGGUCGGUCACACUGACACUGAAUAACGGGUCAGACUCCUACGGGAGGCAGCAGUCGGGAAUUUUGGGCAAUGGGCGAAAGCCUGACCCAGCAACGCCGCGUGAAGGAUGAAGUAUUUC
rnacentral:rRNA from 1 species